AGCAGCCGCGGUAAUUCCAGCUCCAAUAGCGUAUAUUAAAGUUGUUGCAGUUAAAAGCUCGUAGUUGAAUUUCGGGAUCAAUUAAUUGGUCGUGCCUAUGGUACGUACUGAUUUUAUUGGUUUCUCCCUUCUGACGAACCAUGAUGUCAUUAAUUUGGUGUCGUGGAGAAUCAGGACUGUUACUUUGAAAAAUUAGAGUGUUUAAAGCAGGCUAACGCUUGAAUACAUUAGCAUGGAAUAAUGAAAUAGGACGUUUGAUCCUAUUUUGUUGGUUUCUAGGAUCGACGUAAUGAUUAAUAGGGAUAGUUGGGGGCAUUAGUAUUCAAUUGUCAGAGGUGAAAUUCUUGGAUUUAUUGAAGACUAACUACUGCGAAAGCAUUUGCCAAGGAUGUUUUCAUUAAUCAAGAACGAAAGUUAGGGGAUCGAAGACGAUCGGAUACCGUCGUAGUCUUAACCAUAAACUAUGCCGACUAGGGAUCGGAUGAUGUUUAAUUUUUUAAUGACUCAUUCGGCGCCUUAA
rnacentral:misc_RNA from 1 species